rnacentral:rRNA from 1 species
CAUGUGGUUUAAUUUGACGCAACGAGCAGAACCUUACCUGGGCUUGACAUGCACGGGAAACCCGGUGGAAACAUCGGGCCCUCUUUGGAGUCCGUGCACAGGUGCUGCAUGGCUGUCGUCAGCUCGUGUCGUGAGAUGUUGGGUUAAGUCCCGCAACGAGCGCAACCCCCGCCCCGUGUUGCUCACAGGUCAUGCUGAGGACUUUUGGGGGACUGCCGGUGCCAAACCGGAGGAAGGUGGGGAUGACGUCAAGUCAUCAUGGUCCUUACGUCCAGGGCUACACACGUGCUACAAUGGCCGGUACAGAGGGUUGCGAAUCGGUAACGGGGAGCCAAUCCCCGAAAGCCGGUCUCAGUUCGGAUUGGAGUCUGCAACCCGCCUCCAUGAAG